AGAGUUUGAUCAUGGCUCAGGAUGAACGCUGGCGGUAUGCUUAACACAUGCAAGUCGAACGGAAUACUUCGGUAUUUAGUGGCGGACGGGUGAGUAACGCGUAAGAAUCUGGCUCCAGGUUCGGGACAACAGAUGGAAACGUCUGCUAAUACCGGAUGUGCCGAGAGGUGAAAGCUUUAGUGCCUGGAGAUGAGCUUGCGUCUGAUUAGCUAGUUGGAGUGGUAACGGCACACCAAGGCGACAAUCAGUAACUGGUCUGAGAGGAUGACCAGUCACACUGGGACUGAGACACGGCCCAGACUCCUACGGGAGGCAGCAGUGGGGAAUUUUCCGCAAUGGGCGAAAGCCUGACGGAGCAAUACCGCGUGAGGGACGAAGGUCUGUGGAUUGUAAACCUCUUUUGUCAGGGACGAUAAUGACGGUACCUACGAAUAGCU
rnacentral:rRNA from 1 species